GAUCAUGGCUCAGGAUUAACGCUGGCGGCGUGCCUAAUACAUGCAAGUCGAAUGGUGGCAAUACCAUGGCGAACGGGUGAGUAACACGUAGGUAACCUGUCUUUAAGCCGAGGAUAACCAUUGGAAACGAUGGAUAAUACUGGAUAGGAUAUUUUAAGGCAUCUUUUAAUAUUUAAAGAUUUAUCACUUAGAGAGGGGCCUGCGGCGCAUUAGCUAGUUGGUGAGGUGAGGGCUUACCAAGGCGAUGAUGCGUAGCCGGACUGAGAGGUUGAACGGCCACAAUGGAACUGAGAACGGUCCAUACUCCUACGGGAGGCAGCAGUAGGGAAUUUUCGGCAAUGGGCGGAAGCCUGACCGAGCAACGCCGCGUGAACGAAGAAGUAUUUCGGUAUGUAAAGUUCUUUUAUUAGGGACGAAAAGACAGAUUGACGGUACCUAAUGAAUAAGCUCCGGCUAACUACGUGCCAGCCGCGGC
rnacentral:rRNA from 1 species